CAACUUGAGAGUUUGAUCCUGGCUCAGAACGAACGCUGGCGGCAGGCUUAACACAUGCAAGUCGAGCGCCCCGCAAGGGGAGCGGCAGACGGGUGAGUAACGCGUGGGAACGUGCCUU
rnacentral:rRNA from 1 species